AUUACCUACGGGGGGCAGCAGUGGGGAAUAUUGCACAAUGGGGGAAACCCUGAUGCAGCGACGCCGCGUGGGUGACGAAGUAUUUCGGUAUGUAAAGCCCUAUCAGCAGGGAAGAAGAUGACAGUACCUGACUAAGAAGCCCCGGCUAACUACGUGCCAGCAGCCGCGGUAAUACGUAGGGGGCAAGCGUUAUCCGGAUUUACUGGGUGUAAAGGGAGCGUAGACGGCGAUGCAAGUCUGAAGUGAAAGGCGGGGGCCCAACCCCCGGACUGCUUUGGAAACUGUAUGGCUGGAGUGCAGGAGAG
rnacentral:rRNA from 1 species